CCUACGGGAGGCUGCAGUGAGGAAUAUUGGUCAAUGGCCGUAAGGCUGAACCAGCCAAGUAGCGUGAGGGAAGACUGCCCUAUGGGUUGUAAACCUCUUUUAUGCGGGGAUAAAGGUGUCCACGUGUGGAUGUUUGCAGGUACCGCAUGAAUAAGGACCGGCUAAUUCCGUGCCAGCAGCCGCGGUAAUACGGAAGGUCCGGGCGUUAUCCGGAUUUAUUGGGUUUAAAGGGAGCGUAGGCCGGUCUUUAAGCGUGCCGGGAAAUUUUGUGGCUCAACCAGGAGAGUGCGGCGCGAACUGGAGACCUUGAGUGCGCGGAAGGCAGGCGGAAUUCGUGGUGUAGCGGUGAAAUGCUUAGAUAUCACGAAGAACCCCGAUUGCGAAGGCAGCCUGCCGCAGCGUUACUGACGCUGAAGCUCGAAAGCGCGGGUAUCGAACAGGAUUAGAUACCCGUGUAGUC
rnacentral:rRNA from 1 species